ACCAGGGAGGAAGUACAGGCAGGUCUUGUGACAGUGGGCUGAACGGGGGUGGCAGGACCUGGGGGUCCCCGUCUGAUCCCCUUCUCACCUUGCUGGGGGUGGGUGGCACCUGGGAGCGCCCACCUGGGAACUUCUUAAACCCUCAUUAUGGUGGCUGGUGUUGAACUCACAAGCUUCCCUCAAGAGCUACGAUGGAUCAAUGCCCAUGUUCACAUCUGGAGAAGUUCAACAGCCCAUCAGCAGCCACAGGGAAGGUGUUUUUGAAGGAAUCACUAGGGGCACGGAAUAAUGAAGUGAAAAUAAAGAAGCUGUUAAAUCACUCAACCAUGAAUCAAGAUGGUCCAUCAGAGAAUGAGCUCCAUCCUCUCUGUGGGCAGCCCGCAUUAAACCAAAGAAUUGUUUAGA